CUCAGUUAACGGUUGUCUCUAACUCCUGUCACUCUCAGUUAACGGUUGUCUCUAACUCCUGUCACUCUCAGUUAACGGUUGUCUCUAACUCCUGUCACUCUCAGUUAACGGUUGGAGGAGAAAGAAACAGCAAACAGAAGAGCACACUUACCAAUUGGAAGAGCACAAAAAGAGCAAUAUUUCAAUCUAUGUGGAAGGUCUACAAUAAAAAUACGUAGCUAUGGAUAUUCAUCAGCCGUAUGGUAAACGGCACAAGCAUGUGGCCGAGAUCAGCAGCCACUACCACAAGACAGCUUUCCCUGAGAAUGCAGGAAAGAACUCAAAGUUUGUUUUGGUUUUUGGCGACUCGCAUGUGAGGAGCCUGGUAGAUGGUUACGUUCAGAUGCUCGAGGGUGACCUGCUCUUUGGAUACAGCAGCACUCCAGGCGCUUGUGCAGCUGCACUCUGUAAAGAGGUGCUGAACGAAACCCUGCCUGAAGAGCCGGACCUGGUGUGUCUUAUUGCACCAGGGAACAACCUCUCGAAAAAAAACAUCCAACAAGCAGGGAAGGAGUUUG